rnacentral:tRNA from 1 species
GGCUCUGUAGCUCAACUGGAUAGAGUCCCUGACUACGGAUCAGGAGGUUUUAGGUUCGAAUCCUAACAGAGUCA